UGGGUAGCCGCACGAGCGCAACCCCUAUCCUUAUUUGCCAGCACGUAAUGGUGGGAACUCUAGGCNANNCUGCCGGUGAUAAACCGGAGGAAGGUGGGGACGACGUCAAGUCAUCAUGGCCCUUACGAGUAGGGCUACACACGUGCUACAAUGGCGUAUACAGAGGGUUGCAAAGCCGCGAGGUGGAGCUAAUCUCACAAAGUACGUCGUAGUCCGGAUCGGAGUCUGCAACUCGACUCCGUGAAGUCGGAAUCGCUAGUAAUCGUGGAUCAGAAUGCCACGGUGAAUACGUUCCCGGGCCUUGUACACACCGCCCGUCACACCAUGGGAGUGGGCUGCAAAAGAAGUGGGUAGUUUAACCUUCGGGAGAACGCUUACCACUUUGUGGUUCAUGACUGGGGUGAAGUCGUAACAAGGUAGCCCUAGGGGAACCUGGGGCUGGAUCACCUCCUU
rnacentral:rRNA from 1 species